GCUUCAUUGGUCCAAUGGUUAGGAUUCCACCCUUCCAGGCUUCAGCAGAGCUAAGUAAGGUGGAGGUUCGUGUUCGAUUCACGGAUGUUGCA